GGCGAACGCUGGCGGCGUGCCUAAUACAUGCAAGUCGAGCGAAGUUUUUCUGGUGCUUGCACCGGAAAAACUUAGCGGCGAACGGGUGAGUAACACGUAAAGAACCUGCCUCAUAGACUGGGACAACUAUUGGAAACGAUAGCUAAUACCGGAUAAUAGCAUUAACUGCAUGGUUGAUGUUUAAAAGUUGGUUUUGCUAACACUAUGAGAUGGCUUUGCGGUGCAUUAGCUAGUUGGUGGGGUAAAGGCCUACCAAGGCGACGAUGCAUAGCCGACCUGAGAGGGUGAUCGGCCACACUGGGACUGAGACACGGCCCAGACUCCUACGGGAGGCAGCAGUAGGGAAUCUUCCGCAAUGGGCGAAAGCCUGACGGAGCAACGCCGCGUGAGUGAAGAAGGAUUUCGGUUCGUAAAGCUCUGUUGUUAGGGAAGAAUGAUUGUGUAGUAACUAUACACAGUAGAGACGGUACCUAACCAGAAAGCCACGGCUAACUACGUG
rnacentral:rRNA from 1 species